UUUUAAGCUCAAUUAAAGGCCCAAUAAAACUACUAGUAUCGAAGUCGGGUCUCUUCCGAAAAGACCCGAAUUCCUCAUUUACUCUCUCUCUCUCUCUCUCUCUAAAACCCUAACAAAGCCUCCCUCUCUGUUUUUCUCUCUUUGAUAAUCGAAUUUCAGGGUGAUUGCUGCUGAACCUUCAAGAUGGUGCAGUAUAAUUUUAAGAACAUUACUGUGGUUCCAAAUGGGAAGGACUUCAUCGACAUAAUUCUGUCCCGUACCCAACGGCAAACACCGACAGUUGUCCACAAAGGCUAUGCCAUCUCUCGCCUCCGCCAAUUUUAUAUGCGUAAAGUGAAGUAUACCCAGACAAACUAUUAUGACAAGCUCUCUACCAUCAUCGACGAGUUUCCUCGGCUUGAUGAUAUCCAUCCUUUUUAUGGAGAUCUUCUUCAUGUGCUCUACAACAAAGAUCACUACAAGCUUGCCCUUGGUCAAAUCAAUACUGCAAGGAAUCUGAUUAGUAAGAUUGCUAAAGAUUAUGUCAGGCUGUUGAAGUAUGGUGAUUCAUUGUACCGAUGCAAGUGUCUGAAGGUUGCUGCUCUUGGUCGCAUGUGCACUGUCAUAAAAAGGGUUGCUCCUAGUUUGGCUUACUUAGAACAGAUCAGACAGCACAUGGCUAGGCUACCUUCAAUUGACCCAAAUACUCGGACGAUCUUGAUUUGCGGGUAUCCCAAUGUGGGCAAGAGUUCCUUCAUUAACAAGAUCACUAGAGCUGAUGUGGAUGUCCAGCCCUAUGCUUUCACCACAAAGUCGCUCUUUGUCGGUCAUACAGACUAUAAAUACCUAAGGUAUCAAGUCAUCGAUACACCUGGUAUUUUGGACCGGCCUUUUGAGGAUCGCAAUAUUAUUGAGAUGUGCAGUAUCACAGCUUUGGCACAUCUUCGAGCUGCAGUGUUGUUCUUCUUAGACAUCUCGGGGUCUUGUGGAUAUACCAUUGCACAACAGGCUGCACUUUUUCACAGCAUUAAGUCUCUGUUUAUGAACAAACCUUUGACUAUUGUAUGCAACAAGACUGAUUUGCAACCACUUGAAGGGAUAUCAGAGGAAGAUAAGAAGUUGGUCAUGGAGAUGAAAGCUGAAGCUAUGAAAACAGUGAUUGGUCAAGGAGGUGAGCCUACUGAUGACCAAGGGGUGCUGCUGACCAUGAGUACUUUGACUGAGGAUGGGUUAAUUGCUGUGAAAAAUGCAGCUUGUGAGAGGUUAUUGGAUCAGAGGGUUGAAAUAAAGAUGAAAUCCAAAAAGAUAAAUGAUUGCUUAAAUCGUUUUCAUGUUGCGAUACCAAAGCCACGGGACCAGAAGGAAAGGCCACCUUGUAUACCUCAGGCAGUUUUGGAAGCUAAAGCGAAGCAAGCAGCAGAGAAGGAAAAGAGGAAAACUGAAAAGGAUUUGGAGAAUGAGAAUGGUGGUGCAGGUGUAUACUCUGCUAGUUUGAAGAAGAAUUAUAUCUUAGCUAAUGAUGAAUGGAAAGAAGAUGUAUUGCCAGAAAUUCUUGAUGGGCACAAUGUGUAUGACUUCAUUGAUCCUGAUAUUUUACAAAGGCUUGAGGAGUUGGAACAAGAAGAAGGGCUAAGGCAGGCAGAGGAAGUUGAUGAUGAUUUUGAGAUGGAUGGCAAGGAAUUGACUCCAGAAGAGCAACAAGCAUUGGCUGAGAUUAGGAAAAAGAAAAGCUUACUCAUUCAACAGCACAGGAUUAAGAAAAGCACUGCAGAGAGCCGGCCUAUUGUACCAAGAAAAUUUGACAAGGACAAGCAGUUCACAACCAGGAGAAUGGGAAGGCAGCUAUCUGCUUUGGGGCUGGAUCCAUCUAAGGCCAUUGACCGAGCCCGUAGUAGGUCGAGGGGUCGGAAGAGGGAGAGGUCACCUGAUAAUGAAUGUGGUGAUGCUAUGGAUAUUGACGUGGACACACCUAACAAGAAGCUGCGAAUGAGGUCUAGAUCCCGAUCAAGGUCAGUCUCACGGCCACCAGGUGAAGUUGUCCCUGGAGAGGGCUUCAAGGACUCUGCUCAAAAGGUUAAGGCACAAAAGCUUGCAAAGAAAUCUUCCAAGAAGAGGAACAAGGAUGCACGUCGUGGUGAGGCAGAUAGGGUAAUACCUACUUUGAAACCAAAGCAUUUGUUCUCUGGGAAGCGGUCUACCGGAAAAACUGAUAGACGUUGAUUUACUAGAGCUGUGUAGGCUUGUAAAGAUAAUUAGCAAGGUGGCUGGGUUGUUGUAUCCUGGGGGCGGCAUGCACAAUAUUAGUCUACUACACCGGUAAUCCUGUAGACGUGUGCAUCGUCUCAAGACAAUGACAUGGUCCACACCUCAACCCUGCCAUCUAAAAACAUUUAUGAAUUGACGGUAAUUUGCUUCUGAUGCUAUGAGAUUAAUUUAAAGCAUCAUCAAGGAACAACAGAAUGUUCAUGGUUUCGCUGCGUGCCUGUGCUCUGAGGCUUCAGGUGCUUUUUUUUUUCCUUCUCCCCUGCAUGCUUUUGGAACGGAUGUAUCUGUUUUAAGAUUUUCAGAUUAGACUGAUGCUGGUAAAUAGGAGGAUGCCAAAGCUGUCAGCAGCAAUUAUUGGGUUCUUGAUUGAACAUGUGUUGAUGAUGGGCAUGUUGGUUCAUGGUUCGUGGAGACAGCAUUCCUUGGUUUUACUUGCAGUCAAGAAAGAAUUUUGUUCCAUCAAUACUUUGGUUUGGCUGUAGGUUGCACACUUCUUGACCAUGGCAGCAUAUCAGCAGAUUUUUGUUAUCUUCUUUCUUUUAGCAUAAUGUUGAGGCAAUUUUGAGUUUGAGAAACGCUUUAAAUUAUAAUUUUUCCUAGCAUAAUGUGUAUGAGUUCACAGAUGAAUUUGGCUUAAUUGCUGUUUGUUAGAUACUCCAAGAGCCAAUUCAAAUUAUGUUUUCAUCUAUUACCGUUUUGAAACAA